UACGGAGGGUGCGAGCGUUGUCCGGAAUCACUGGGCGUAAAGGGCGCGUAGGCGGCCUGGUAAGUAGGGGGUGAAAUCCUGCGGCUUAACCGCAGGGCUGCCUUCUAAACUGUCAGGCUCGAGCACGGUAGAGGCAGAUGGAAUUCCCGGUGUAGCGGUGGAAUGCGUAGAGAUCGGGAAGAACAUCAGUGGCGAAGGCGGGCUGCUGGGCCGUUGCUGACGCUGAGGCGCGACAGCGUGGGGAGCAAACAGG
rnacentral:rRNA from 1 species